CUGCUUAAUUGCGAUAACGAACGAGACCUUAACCUGCUAAUAGCCGGCCCGCUUGGCGGGUCGGCCGGCUUCUUAGAGGGACUAUCGGCUCAAGCCGAUGGAAGUUUGAGGCAAUAACAGGUCUGUGAUGCCCUUAGAUGUUCUGGGCCGCACGCGCGCUACACUGACAGGGCCAACGAGUUAAUGUCCUUGGCCGGAAGGUCUGGGUAAUCUUGUUAAACCCUGUCGUGCUGGGGAUAGAGCAUUGCAAUC
rnacentral:rRNA from 1 species